GACGAACGCUGGCGGCGUGCCUAAUACAUGCAAGUUGAGCGAUGAAGAUUGGUGCUUGCACCAAUUUGAAGAGCAGCGAACGGGUGAGUAACGCGUGGGGAAUCUGCCUUUGAGCGGGGGACAACAUUUGGAAACGAAUGCUAAUACCGCAUAACAACUUUAAACAUAAGUUUUAAGUUUUAAAGAUGCAAUUGCAUCACUCAAAGAUGAUCCCGCGUUGUAUUAGCUAGUUGGUGAGGUAAAGGCUCACCAAGGCGAUGAUACAUAGCCGACCUGAGAGGGUGAUCGGCCACAUUGGGACUGAGACACGGCCCAAACUCCUACGGGAGGCAGCAGUAGGGAAUCUUCGGCAAUGGACGAAAGUCUGACCGAGCAACGCCGCGUGAGUGAAGAAGGUUUUCGGAUCGUAAAACUCUGUUGGUAGAGAAGAACGUUGGUGAGAGUGGAAAGCUCAUCAAGUGACGGUAACUACCCAGAAAGGGACGGCUAACUACGUG
rnacentral:rRNA from 1 species